UCAGCAGUUUCUGGCCGCUUUGUUCAGCUCCGUGUGCAUGUGCGCACAGAGCCCGGAGCUCAAUCCAGUUUCUCUGGUUUUUGGAGGCAAAGAUUCCUUCUAGAUACACACUGCUCUCUGAAGAAUGUGACGUGUUUAUGGAACAGAGAACAAAAUCGUAAUGUAGAGAAUACAUGCAGAUCUCAGAUGCCAGUAAUAUCACAGACCUCUGUCACAUGUAUUCAAGAGGAACAGCAGCGCAUAUGUAGGAGCAGAGCCACAUAAGGCAAAGCCACAUGUUUCGGAGGGGCCUGCAUCCAAUAAGGUCUUGUUAAUGGUGCCAGUGCUGCUAACUACUGGAACCUCUUUGAGGAAUAGCUGAGGACUGACUGAAGGACCAGCGCUUUAUAUGCUGAAUUACUCUCACUGCGAGUAAUUCAACCCUUUUGUCUUCAUCAGGCUGGAUUUAUAACCAGGUGAAGUGCUGCCUUAUCAAUCAUGCAUUCAU